AAUGGCAAGCCUUGGUAGCUCAGUGGGAUAAAAUGGAAAAUAAGCGGAGAUGUGCAACUAAUGCCAAGAAUCGAAAAAUGUUAAAGACGAGUCACACAACUGGGACAACAACUUUUGCUCAAAUACGGAAUGAUUAUGCUGAAGAACAUGAUGGAAAUGAACCUGAUCGUGUGACUUUUUUCAAAAUGACACACACAAGAGGA